rnacentral:rRNA from 1 species
GAUGAACGCUGGCGGCGUGCUUAACACAUGCAAGUCGAACGAAGCACCUUGAUUUGAUUCUUCGGAUGAAGAUCUUGGUGACUGAGUGGCGGACGGGUGAGUAACGCGUGGGUAACCUGCCUCAUACAGGGGGAUAACAGUUAGAAAUGACUGCUAAUACCGCAUAAGACCACAGUACCGCAUGGUACAGGGGUAAAAACUCCGGUGGUAUGAGAUGGACCCGCGUCUGAUUAGGUAGUGGGUGGGGUAACGGCCUACCAAGCCGACGAUCAGUAGCCGACCUGAGAGGGGGACCGGCCACAUUGGGACGGAGACACGGCCCAAACUCCUACGGGAGGCAGCAGUGGGGAAUAUUGCACAAUGGGGGAAACCCUGAUGCAGCGACGCCGCGUGAGCGAUGAAGUAUUUCGGUAUGUAAAGCUCUAUCAGCAGGGAAGAAAAUGACGGUAGCUGACUAAGAAGCACCGGCUAAAUACGUGCCAGCCGCCGCCGUAA